rnacentral:rRNA from 1 species
AUGGCCCUCGGGAAUCCUGAGCACCCUGGACGGACACGAGGCACGCCAGGCUCCGUUUCGUGGAAGGCUGGUUUUCCGGACGCGGGCGAUUACAAAACCCAGGAGAGGAGGAAAAAAGUGGAGCAGAUCCAAAUUCAGAAGCUGCACGAAAGGGUUCAAGCGCUAGAGGAACGAGACGGCAAUCGAGAUGCCGAAACUGCCCCCGAAGCUACACCGCCAUCUCAGUGGAGAAGCAGCGUGGCUUCCACCGAGCUGCUUCAGCUGGAGCAUGCGGCUCCUGCUAGCUACCCCGUGGAUGCUAUCACGGAGUCUCAACAGUGCCACCUUAUGGCGGAAUGGAAGAACUUCAAAGUCAAGGCGGCUGUUGGCUCUGUUUUACCUACUGAACCCGGCGCAACCUACCACUGCCGGCCGAUUCCAGAAGGAUAUGCUAGGGUGAUGGUGGAUGAAAUAACGGAGGGAUUUGAGGAGCUCCAGCUUGACCACCCUACCGGUGAAGGGGAGACUCGGCUGGGUUCUGCUCUGAAGACUCCAUGCCUAUGGCGGAAGGAGCUCAUGAAGCUUCCGAACUGGACGGCUCCGGCGAGUAAGGGCACUCCGCCUCCUCCUCCGCCUCCUCCUCCGGCGAGUAAUCAGGGCACUCAGCCUCCUUCUCCGGCGUGUGGCGGCACUCCGCCUCCUUCUCCGCCAGCGCCGGUGCGCCAGAGCAGCCAGCCUCCUCCUUCUCCGCCUCAUCAGCAAGGGCGGAAGAGACCUGCCGCCGCUGCGGCUGCUCCGGCGCGUCGUAGUCCUUCUCCUCCGCCUCGUAAGCAAGAAAAGAAGACAGCCGCAGCCGCUCCGUCUGCUCUGCCGGCCUCUAGCAGUACAGCUACCAGAGGCAGGAGGCAAUACAGAUUCGGUCCUUCUCUGAAGACUCCAGAGAAGUUACCAUACGAGAGGACCGAGGAGGAGAACGUCAAGAUCGUGCGAGCCAAAGUCAAGAACUUCUUUGAAGGGGUGAAAGCAAAGAAACAUCCACCUCCGGAGGAGAAGGUAGAUCCGGUGAAAGCAAAGCGCACUCUGGCUGCCCUGACAAAACCACCAAAGUCCCCGCCGAGAGGCAACUAUGAGCGCGUUCUUGCAAAGACAUAUGCCGAAGCGGAGCGGUCGGGAAGUACUGUCAGUGAUAAAAGGAUGAAAGAACGACGAGCUGGGAAAAAAAUUGCCCAGCUCGGCGAACAAGCGAACCAAUCGUGCCCCCCGCUCAAGGUGUCAAAAGACAUCAUCGCUAAUGAUCCAAGUAUGGUGCCCGGUUAUAGCAAUCUUGGAGAUUACCUGCCCGACGAUGUACAUUAUGAAAUCAUGGAGGUGGACGAACACAAAUACCAUUACGGGAAGCCUCUCGUCAAAGAUGAAAGAUCUCUAAGCACGAUGAUGCGAAGACUACAUGAUUGGUACAUGAAAACCUGCAGAGAGUCUGAUGGGAUGGAUACUUUGACGCUGAGAGUUAAACCGGAGCAUGACCUCGUUGGAAUUGAUCUGCUGAGUGUUCCAUUUGAGGAUUUCUUCCAGUUUUACAAUCAAAAGGCCCUCGAUAAAACAACGAUCACUUUCUACUGUCUGUAA